CCUACGGGAGGCUGCAGUGGGGAAUAUUGGGCAAUGGGCGCAAGCCUGACCCAGCAACGCCGCGUGAAGGAAGAAGGCUUUCGGGUUGUAAACUUCUUUUGUCAGGGAAGAGCAGAAGACGGUACCUGUCGAAUAAGCCACGGCUAACUACGUUCCAGCAGACGCGGUAAUACGUAGGUGGCAAGCGUUGUCCGGAUUUACUGGGUGGAAAGGGCGUGUAGCCGGGCUGACAAGUCAGAUGUGAAAUCCGGGGGCUCAACCCCCGAACUGCAUUUGAAAAUGUUGUUCUUGAGUAUCGGAGAGGCAGGCGGAAUUCCGAGUGUAGCGGUGAAAUGCGUAGAUAUUAGGAGGAACACCAGUGGCGAAGGCGGCCUGCUGGACGACAACUGACGGUGAGGCGCGAAAGCGUGGGGAGCAAACAGGAUUAGAUACCCCAGUAGUC
rnacentral:rRNA from 1 species